rnacentral:rRNA from 1 species
ACUCCUACGGGAGGCAGCAGUGGGGAAUUUUCCGCAAUGGGCGAAAGCCUGACGGAGCAACGCCGCGUGAGGGAUGAAGGCCUCUGGGCUGUAAACCUCUUUUCUCAAGGAAGAAGAUCUGACGGUACUUGAGGAAUAAGCCACGGCUAAUUCCGU